GACACCGAAGGUGAUAGAAUUCAUAGAUUUUGGAUGUGUUUGGGAGAGAAAUGAGAGAACGUUGCUCUCUGUGAAAGAACAGAAAAAUUGAAGGAAUGAAGUCAGGUGUAUUUCAUUACAUGCCAAAAAGAGAUAUAUCCGUUGAGGAGAGAGAAGAGAGAUUCUUCUCUAACUGCCUCAAUACAAAACUCAAUCCUAGCCAUUGAACUAUCAUCCUAUAAGAUGAUUACACUUGUCUCAAUCUAACACCUCACUUAAAGAGCCACUUGGACUCUAAUCCAAGGGUCCUUAUUACAAGCAGCAGAAAAACUAAAGUUUUUUUUUAAAAAAAAAAAAAAAAAACUAAACAAUAGAAACAUUUAAAUGAAAUGGAAUUAGGCGGCAAAGGGGAUUUUUGGCUCAGCUCAAAGGGUUACACAUCAACACUCCCUUCUAACCCUUUGACUGAUUUAACUCCAAGCAAAUCUCUGAGGUACACAAAACGUUCCUUGGAUAAAGCCUUGGUUAGGAUGUCUGCAAUUUGAUCUUCAGAUUUGCAGUAGAUUAGCUCAAUUUCCUUUGCUUGGAUAGCUUCUCGGAUGAAAUGAAAUUUCCUGCUUAUGUGCCUGGAUUUCUGAUGAAAGAUAGGAUUCUUUGCCAUUGCUAUGGCAGAUGUGUUGUCACACAGAAUUGGUGUGCCUUCCACUUUCUCCUCUCCAAAAUCUUCAAGUAUAAACUUUAGCCAUUUAGCUUGUGAUGUUGCUUCAGCAGCACUCACAUAUUCUGCUUCAGCAGUAGACAAAGCUACAGUAUUUUGUUUGAUUGAGGCCCAAGAAAACAUGCCAGAUCCCAGAGUGAACACAUAUCCUGAUGUACUUCUUCUGUCAUCUUCACUGCCUGCCCAGUCACUGUCACAGUAGCCAAUUAAGGUAGCUGCCUUGCCCUUUUUAUACUCAACUCCAUAUUCAAGUGUGCCUUGAACAUACCUCAACACUCUUUUGGCUGUUCCCAUGUGCUUUCUAGUAGGAUUAUGCAUAAAUCUAGCAAGCAGACUUGAGGCAAACAUGAUGUCUGGUCUUGUAGCUGUCAGAUACAGCAGGCUGCCUACAAUCUGUCUAUAUUCACUCUCAUCUGCCAUCUCACUUCCAUCUUCUUUGCACAGCCUUUCAUUUGCUACCAAGGGGGUUGCCACUGAUUUACAGCCUUUUAAACCAAAUUUCUCAACCACUUUCAUUGCAUACUUCUUCUGAUGGAGAAAUAUGUAUUUCUCAGUCUGCACAACUCCCAUGCCAAGAAAAUGAUAGAGUAGCCCGAGAUCAGUCAUCUCAUAAUGCCUCAUCAUGUCAUUUUUGAACUCUUCAAGCAUUUUUACACAACUUCCAGUAUAAACAAUAUCAUCCACAUAGAGAGAAACAAUGAGAAUACCUGAGCCUUCAUCAGUUUUAAUGUAAAGUGUAGCUUCACUUGGACUUUUCUUAAAUCCUGCCUUGUUGAAGUAGGAAUCUAUCUCAUCAUACCAUGCCCUUGGGGCUUGUUUUAAUCCAUACAAGGCCUUGUUCAGCUUAUACACUUUGAUUUCUUCAUUCUUUUUCUCAAAACCCUGUGGCUGCUCCACAUAUACUUCUUCUUUUAGAACUCCAUUCAGAAAUGCAGACUUGACAUCCAGUUGGUAUAAAUGACAUUCCUUCUGUGCAGCCAGAGCUAUCAAAGUCCUAAUGGUAUCUAGCCUUGCCACUGGGGCAAACGUCUCAUUGUAAUCGAUUCCAGAUUUUUGUGAGUAGCCUUUAGCUACUAACCGAGCCUUAUUCUUCUGCACAGUGCCAUCUAGAUUAAGCUUGGUCUUAUAGAUCCAUUUGACACCAAUAACAGGUUUGUUAAAAGGCCUUUCCACAAGCUGCCAAGUGUUAUUCUUCUCAAUCAUUUCUAACUCAGCUUCCAUUGCCCUUCUCCAUGACUCAUCUAGAUCAGCUUCUUCAAAAUUCUCAGGCUCCAUAAUGCACAUAUUACACUGAGCCAUAAUGUCAUUAAUGCUCUUCCAUUUCUUUGGUGUAUGAUCAAUAGCUUGAGAACUUCCUUCAAUGCUCUCAUCCUGCAGGGUAGGAUCUCCAUCUGCUUGUGUUUGUGUCUCCAAGCUUUGACUUGGUUCUUCUGGAGCUAUGACUUCUUCAUGUAUUUGCAGUGGUGCAUUCAAGUCUGGAUUUAGAGCAUAGUCUUGAUUUCCAGUAGGCACAAGCACAGUGAUUUCUCCUUCUCUAGCAUUCUCCCAUUUCCAUAAGCUUUCUUCAUCAAAUUUCACAUCCCUUGACAGAAUAAUCUUCCUAUUUCUUGGAUCAAAGAGUCUAUAUCCCUUUUCACAAAGACCAUAGCCUACAAAAAUACACUUGUGACUGUUUUCUUCAAGCUUAUGCCUUAAUGCAGAAGGAAUAAGCACAUGACAAGGAGAUCCAAAUAUUUUCAGAUGUGCAACUCCUGGUUUUCUGCCAGUGAAGGCCUCAAAUGGUGUUACCUUAUUGAGAGCCUUGGUAGGACAUCUAUUCAACAAAUAGACUGCAGUAUUGACAGCCUCUGCCCAAAACUCAUAAGGGAUACCUUUCUCAUGCAGCAUUGACUUAGCCAUUUCAACCACUGUUCUAUUCUUCCUCUCAGCUACUCCAUUCUGCUGAGGGGAGUAAGCCACUGUUAAUUGCCUUUGAAUGCCAGAUUCUUCACAGAAACUGUUAAACUCUCCUGACAAGAAUUCUCCACCCCUAUCACUUCUCAAACUCUUUAUCUUGAACCCACUUUGCAGCUCAGUCAUAGCUUUGAAUUUCAUGAAACACUCCAAUGCACUUGAUUUGUUUCUAAUGAAAUACACCCAAGACAUCCUAGUGUGAUCAUCUGUAAAUAGGAGAAAAUAUCUGUUUCCAGAGAGGGAUUCUGUUUUCAUUGGUCCACAGAUGUCUGUGUGAACCAAUUCCAAAGGAUUAGAAGCUCUCCAAGUUGAUUCCAAAGGGAAAGAAUCCCUAUGCUGCUUUCCUUGCAUACAUCCAUCACACACCACUGACAUUUGCUCCAAGUGGGGUAGUCCAUGAACCAUCCCUUGAUUCUCAAGCAGCUUCAUACUUCUUUCAUUUAAGUGCCCAAGUCUCUUAUGCCAUGUCUGCAAGCAAUGUGUAACACUUGCUUUUAGAACCAACUCACUGGCAGGCAUCAUUGUCAAUGGAAAGCAUCUGUUGUUUGUCAUUUGCACCUCCACAAUCAGAUUUUCCAUUCACUGAUCAUCAUAAAUUCUCACCAUAUUCUCUCCAAACACAAGAUGGUAGCCAUGUGCCAUCAUUUUCCCAACACUGAGCAAAUUUUCUUCAAGACCAGGUACAAGCAUUACUUCAUGAAUGUGCUUCUUACCCAACUUGGUUUUUAUCACCAAAGUUCCUUUUCCAGUAACUGAAACUACUUCUCCAGUCCCCAUCUUCACCUUAGAAGUCAAAUCCCUUUGAACAUUUACUAAAAGUCCCUCAUCUCCUGUCAUGUGAUUACUACACCCACUGUCUAUGUACCAAGAGUGAUUAACCUUUACAUCUGUUGCAGCAUUACAGACAUAGAAUAGUGUACCAGUUUCUUCCAUCUCAUUUGCAUAAUUCACCCUAUGUGCAUUCCUAUUUCCAUUGCAAUCUCGGACCAUAUGUCCAAAUUUUCCACAUCCAUGACAUUUAGGCUUGCCUUCAUACCAGCACUUGCCAUAAUGUAACUUGUCACAAUGCUUACAAGCUGCUAUGUUACCAUCAUUAGGCUUCCAAAGUUUUUGAAAGCUUUGAUUUCCAGGAGCACUUUUCUGAAAACUCUGAUUUUCAGAAAGACUCUCAUUCUUAGGCUUCUUUUCUUCUACAUUCAGACUAGCAAAAGCUCUUUCUGAAGAAUUCUCAGUGUGCCUAUCCAAUCUGAGCUCAAAGCUCUUCAAGGAGGCAACCACUUCUUGAACUUCCAGAGUUUCAAGAUCCUUUGAGUGCUCUAUCACAGAGCAUAUAGAAUCAUAGGACUUAGGCAGACUAAACAAUAGCUUCUGCACAAUUCUCUCCCUAGAUAACUCCUCACCAUAACUCUUCAUUUGAUUCAUCAUAUUAAACAAUCUAACCAGAUAGACAGAUAGGGAUUCACUAUCCUUCAUGCGAGCAUAUUCAAAUUCCCUACGCAACCCUUGCAAUUUAACAUUUCGUACCUGUUUAUCUCCUCUGAAUUCCAGUUUCAAUAUAUCCCAAGCUCCCUUCGAGGUCUCCUCAUUCACAAUCCUUGGAAAUAGCUGAUCUGAAACUGCACUUUGGAUUAAUCCAAGUGCAUGAGCAUCCUUCAUCAGAAUCUGAGCCACCAUGGACUUCUCAGUUUCUGCAGCCUCUUCUUUUUCUUUCUUCAUGCCUGAGUCAUCUAGCCCAUUCUCGACCAGAUCCCACAAACCGUGCGAUUUCAAAAUAGUUUUCAUUCAAAUACUCCAGAAUUCGUAGUUUUCUCCAUUAAAAACUGGUGUUCGAAGCUCAGCUGCUCCAGAUCCUGCCAUAUGAGACAUCUUGAUGCAAGAAUUCGCUACUUCGAUCUCCAAAUCAGCUCAACGAUAGCUCAGAUCGAGCUCGAUUUUCUGUUCACAGAUCACGCCCAGCUCAAUCAAUCGAACCUGGCUCUGAGGCCAUGAUAGAAUUCAUAGAUUUUGGAUGUGUUUGGGAGAGAAAUGAGAGAACGUUGCUCUCUGUGAAAGAACAGAAAAAUUGAAGGAAUGAAGUCAGCUGUAUUUCAUUACAUGCCAAAAAGAGAUAUAUCCGUUGAGGAGAGAGAAGAGAGAUUCUUCUCUAACUGCCUCAAUACAAAACUCAAUCCUAGCCAUUGAACUAUCAUCCUAUAAGAUGAUUACACUUGUCUCAAUCUAACACCUCACUUAAAGAGCCACUUGGACUCUAAUCCAAGGGUCCUUAUUACAAGCAGCAGAAAAAC
rnacentral:lncRNA from 1 species